GCGGUCCGGUCCUGCGGCGCGCCGCGGUCCCUCACACCUGGCCAAGCUACCCGGUUCCGCCGGCUCUACAGAGCAGGCGCCGCGAAGGGAGGGGCGGUGCAGUGUCGCGCGCCCUCCCGCCGACGUGCUCACGCAGCCAAUCGGCGACCGCGAAGCCAUCCGAGUGAACAGCGACCGGCGCCUUGGCGCAAGCGCGCUACUCGUGGCGGAAGUGACGUCAGCAUCCGCCGGGCUCGCGGUAAGGUGUGAGGGGAGGGACAAUCUUGGUAGAACGGUGACUGGGCGCCAGGAUGCUUGUUUCUUACUGAGAGAGGGGGAGGACAAAGUUGCCAGUUCCUCAAGGUUACAUCCUCACCACUUAGCAACCCCAGAGCUUAACUGUUGAUGAGGAUUGCUUAUGCCCAGGAGUUCAAGACCAGCCUGGGCAACACAGGGAGACCCUGUUUCUACAAAAGAAGUUAGCCAGGUGUAGUGGUGCACCCCUGUGGUCCCAACUACUUGGGAGCCUGAGAUCGGAAGAUAGCUGGAUCCCAAGAGGUGGAGCCUGCAAUGAGCUAUGAUCGCACCACUGGAUUCCAGCCUAGGCAAUAGAACAAGACACUGUUUCAAAACAAACCAAAACAAACAGCUAUGAAGCACUUACUAUGUCCCAGGACCCCAGAACAUGGAAGAAAACACAGAGGUUCAUAGUGGGAAGACAGAGUUAAAUAAGAACACGCACCAACCUGGCCAACAUAGUGAAACCCUGUCUCUACUAAAAAUACAAAAAUUAGCUGGGCAUGGUGGCAGGCACCUACAAUCCCAGCUACUUAGGAGGCUGAGGCAGGAAACU
rnacentral:lncRNA from 1 species